rnacentral:rRNA from 1 species
GAUGAACGCUGGCGGCGUGCCUAAUACAUGCAAGUCGAGCGAACAGAUAAGGAGCUUGCUCCUUUGACGUUAGCGGCGGACGGGUGAGUAACACGUAGGUAACCUACCUAUAAGACUGGGAUAACUUCGGGAAACCGGAGCUAAUACCGGAUAACAUUUGGAACCGCAUGGUUCUAAAGUGAAAGAUGGUUUUGCUAUCACUUAUAGAUGGACCCGCGCCGUAUUAGCUAGUUGGUAAGGUAACGGCUUACCAAGGCAACGAUACGUAGCCGACCUGAGAGGGUGAUCGGCCACACUGGAACUGAGACACGGUCCAGACUCCUACGGGAGGCAGCAGUAGGGAAUCUUCCGCAAUGGGCGAAAGCCUGACGGAGCAACGCCGCGUGAGUGAUGAAGGGUUUCGGCUCGUAAAACUCUGUUAUUAGGGAAGAACAAAUGUGUAAGUAACUGUGCACGUCUUGACGGUACCUAAUCAGAAAGCCACGGCUAACUACGUG